rnacentral:rRNA from 1 species
CCUAUCAGCUAGUUGGCGGGGUAAAAGCCCACCAAGGCUACGACGGGUAGCUGGUCUUAGAGGACGACCAGCCACACUGGAACUGAGACACGGUCCAGACACCUACGGGUGGCAGCAGUCGAGAAUCUUUCACAAUGGGGGCAACCCUGAUGGAGCGACGCCGCGUGGAGGAUAAGGUCUUCGGAUUGUAAACUCCUGUCAUGCGCGAACAAGGUUGCAUGGKUAAUAACUGUGCAAWUUAAUGGUAGCGCAAGAGGAAGAGACGGCUAACUCUGUGCCAGCAGCCGCGGUAAUACAGAGGUCUCAAGCGUUGUUCGGAAUCACUGGGCGUAAAGGGUGCGUAGGUGGCAUGGUAAGUCAGAUGUGWAAGCCCAGGGCUCAACCUUGGAAUUGCAUCCGAUACUGCUGUGCUAGAGUANUGGAGGGGUGACUAGAAUUCUCGGUGUAGCAGUGAAAUGCGUAGAUAUCGAGAGGAAUACCAAAGGCGUAGGCAGGUCACUGGACAGUUACUGACACUGAGGCACGAAGGCCAGGGGAGCAAACGGGAUUAGAUACCCCGGUAGUCCUGGCAGUAAACGGUGCAUACUUGGUGUGGGAAGAUUCGACCCUUCCUGUGCCGGAGCUAACGCGUUAAGUAUGC